rnacentral:rRNA from 1 species
AUUGAACGCGGCGGCAUGCUUUACACAUGCAAGUCGGACGGCAGCACAGAGAAGCUUGCUUCUUGGGUGGCGAGUGGCGAACGGGUGAGUAACAUAUCGGAACGUACCGGGCAGUGGGGGAUAACUAAUCGAAAGAUUAGCUAAUACCGCAUAUUUUCUGAGGAAGAAAGCAGGGGACCAUUUGGCCUUGCGCUGUUUGAGCGGCCGAUAUCUGAUUAGCUAGUUGGUGGGGUGAAGGCCUACCAAGGCGACGAUCAGUGGCGGGUCUGAGAGGAUGAUCCGCCACACUGGGACUGAGACACGGCCCAGACUCCUACGGGAGGCAGCAGUGGGGAAUUUUGGACAAUGGGCGCAAGCCUGAUCCAGCCAUGCCGCGUGUCUGAAGAAGGCCUUCGGGUUGUAAAGGACUUUUGUC